rnacentral:tRNA from 1 species
GCUUGGGUGGCUUAGUCGGUUGAGCGUCUGACUUCGGCUCAGGUCAUGAUCUCACAGUCCGUGAGUUCGAGCCCCGUGUCAGGCU